UCAUAUCUCCCUGUGUAUUUUGGCUGUUCUACAAGGCAUUCGAUGACCUUGGACAGCUUGGAAGUGCUUAUCCAGCGCCUUACGCAACAGUCUACCGUAACAUGGCACUUCUUGCUGUCGAGGGCUUCUCGAGUUUACCAAAGAAUUGUCUCUCCUUAUGUUAUGGGUUCUUUGCAGCAGCCAUUGUGAUAAAUUUGAUAAGAGACUUAUCAGGGAAGAAGGUAAGUCAGUAUAUUCCAAUACCUAUGGCAAUGGCGAUUCCGUUCUAUAUCGGCUCAUAUUUUGCCAUUGACAUGUGCCUUGGAAGUUUGAUAUUGUUUGUGUGGGAAAAGAUCAACAAGGCCAAAGCUGACGCUUUUGCACCUGCCGUCGCUUCCGGUCUGAUAUGUGGAGAUGGAAUAUGGACAUUGCCCAGCUCCAUCCUUGCUUUGUUUGGAGUUAAGCCUCCAAUUUGCAUGAAGUUUCUAUCAAGGACUACAAAUGUUAAGGUUGACAAAUUCUUAACACCAUGAAGCUUUGUUCACAGCCACAAUAGAAGAAGGUAGUGUUCUAAAUAUAUUUAAUGUUUAUAGCUUUAUUAUUGCAUGAGUGCAAAAGGUACUCAAACACAGCUUCUUGAUGUUUAGAUAAAUAGUUGUGAUUCAUCUGUAUAUCAACUCUCUCACAUGUAUUGUCAAAAAUAUUUAUAAAUAGUUGUUUUCUGGGAAAAUGAACUUGAUUUUGAUCAAUAAUUAAAGGAUUGUUGUUAUUAAACUUAUCCUAACUAUAUAUCACCAAGGAUUGAUGAGUAUGAUUUGUCAUAUGAUAUUAGAGUGAUAAAAGUUAAAUGUACCAUAACCAAAUAACCAAUUAAUUCAUGUGAUACCAAAAUUUUGGUAACAAAAAUGACUGAUGUCUAAGUCAAAAUAGUAUGACUUUUCACAAUACUUAUAGGAUAAAGAAAUGGUUUUUCCUAAUUUCAAGCAAGUUAGAUUAAAGUUUAUCUUAUCUCAUUUUAUUUUGAUUUAUCUUACAAUGAUUCUGCUUGAUCUUUAUCUUGAUUUUGGGUUUUAUUGGCCCACAGUAUAAGUUAUAAAACUAAAUUUAUCAUAACCAAUUAAUUUAAGCUUUCAAGUUGAUCGGUGAUCAUACAACGAAAAAGGAAAAAAAAAUUCUUUGACAAUGGUGGACUCUUAUUCUCUAUCUAUAGCUCGUUGUUGGUCGUUUUGCUAAAAAUGAAAACCUUGAAAAUAAAAUACGAUAAUAAGAAAACAAAGGGUUCAAUCAUGUAUUGCUUAGGUUGCAAUUCUUUCCAUCUUUGCCUCGAACUAAAACAUGGAGAAUUCAAUUCAAAAGCCUAUUGGACUUUGUAUAAAAUGUAUCAUGAAGAUAAAAUCAACACUUGGGAAGAGGAUCACAAGAUGACCCUUGCAAUCAGUAAAUUCCACAAGCUACAAAAGCACAGAAACACCAUUGACACAAAACAAAACACAAUAUGCUUACAAUACUCCCAAAUUUUGCUAUAGUCUUAUAUUUUUGUAUGAAUAUGUGUAGUAUAUAUAUGGGUAGGAACAAUCUAUAUUAUAAAGACUGUUCCUUUGAUGGAUGUCUUCUCUCAAAUAUGGGAACUUGAGAUCCAUUUUAGAUGGUUGUAGUUUUUAGGUCUCUAGAACUUUAGCACCGUUGAUUCGAUUUAAGAUUUUAAGCCCAAUUAGAUCUUUAGUCAAAUUCAUAGAUUGUGAUCCAAGUUUAACCAAGUUCAAUUUGAUAAGAGACUUAUCAGGGAAGAAGGUAAGUCGGUAUAUUCCAAUACCUAUGGCAAUGGCGAUUCCGUUCUAUAUCCGCUCAUAUUUUGCCAUUGACAUGUGCCUUGGAAGCUUGAUAUUGUUCGUGUGGGAAAAGAUCAACAAAGCCAAAGCAUCAAUGAGUGAUUUGUCACGAUGAUAUUAAAGGGAUAAAGUUAAAUGUAUCACAGCCAAUUUACUUGUGAUAAUAGAGUUGUGAUGCCAAACUUUAACUUCACUUGAGUUAAGAGAAAACACAUUUGAACUUCAUGUAAAAGAAAACCUCCAAAACAAACAAAAAUCACUCUAAAUACCUACGUGAGGAAGAAAAUUGUAGAAUAUAGAAAAAGUCAAAACAAAAUUAUUUUUCCUAAUCCUAUAUUAUUUUGUUAUUUGAUAAUAA
rnacentral:lncRNA from 1 species